rfam:Danio rerio chromosome 1, GRCz11 reference primary assembly.
CCAACGGCACUUUUCAGUGCCACGAAAACAUCAAUGAAUUCAAGGU